rnacentral:rRNA from 1 species
GAUGAACGCUGGCGGCGUGCCUAAUACAUGCAAGUCGAGCGAACGGACGAGAAGCUUGCUUCUCUGAUGUUAGCGGCGGACGGGUGAGUAACACGUGGAUAACCUACCUAUAAGACUGGGAUAACUUCGGGAAACCGGAGCUAAUACCGGAUAAUAUUUUGAACCGCAUGGUUCAAAAGUGAAAGACGGUGUUUCGGUCACUUAUAGAUGGAUCCGCGCUGCAUUAGCUAGUUGGUAAGGUAACGGCCUACCAAGGCAACGAGGCAUAGCCGACCUGAGAGGGUGAUCGGCCACACUGGAACUGGGACACGGUCCAGACUCCUACGGGAGGCAGCAGUAGGGAAUCUUCCGCAAUGGGCGAGAGCCUGACGGAGCAACGCCGCGUGAGUGAUGACGGUCUUCGGAUCGUAAAACUCUGUUAUUAGGGAAGAACAUCUGUGUAAGUAACUGUGCACAUCUUGACGGUACCUAAUCAGAAAGCCACGGCUAACUACGUG